UAAUACAUCGGAACGUGUCCUUAAGUGGGGAAUAACGCAUCGAAAGAUGUGCUAAUACCGCAUAUCUCUGAGGAGAAAAGCAGGGGAUCGCAAGACCUUGCGCUAAAGGAGCGGCCGAUGUCUGAUUAGCUAGUUGGUGGGGUAAAGGCUUACCAAGGCAACGAUCAGUAGUUGGUCUGAGAGGACGGCCAACCACACUGGGACUGAGACACGGCCCAGACUCCUACGGGAGGCAGCAGUGGGGAAUUUUGGACAAUGGGCGAAAGCCUGAUCCAGCCAUGCCGCGUGAGUGAAGAAGGCCUUCGGGUUGUAAAGCUCUUUUAGUCGGAAAGAAAGAGUUGCAAUGAAUAAUUGUGAUUUAUGACGGUACCGACAGAAAAAGCACCGGCUAACUACGUGCCAGCAGCCGCGGUAAUACGUAGGGUGCGAGCGUUAAUCGGAAUUACUGGGCGUAAAGGGUGCGCAGGCGGUCUUGCAAGUCANAUGUGAAAGCCCCGGGCUUAACCUGGGAAUUGCGUUUGAAACUACAAGGCUAGAGUGCAGCAGAGGGGAGUGGAAUUCCAUGUGUAGCAGUGAAAUGCGUA
rnacentral:rRNA from 1 species